rnacentral:rRNA from 1 species
UUGUCUACUAAUUAUAGACCAGCAUGAAAGGCAAAAUGAGGGUCUAACUGUCUCUUAUAAUAAAUCAAUGAAACUGAUCUCCUAGUAAAAAAGCUAGAAUUACAUCAUAAGACCAGAAGACCCUGUGAAGCUUAAACUAAACUAUUAAACCCAAUAAUAACUACUUUCGGUUGGGGCGACCUUGGAAAAAAAAAGAACUUCCAAACACCGUGACUUUACCUCACACAAAUAGGCCCACAAGCCAAACAACGACCCAGCAUAGCUGAAAACUGAACCAAGUUACUCCAGGGAUAACAGCGCAAUCUUCUUUAAGAGCCCAUAUCAAAAAGCAAGGUUUACGACCUCGAUGUUGGAUCAGGACAUCCUAAUGGUGCAGCCGCUAUUAAGGGUUCGUUUGUUCAACGAUU